rnacentral:lncRNA from 1 species
GGGCAGACUCAUCUAAGAGUCUAUGGCUCAGUGUGUUUCAGGAGACAGCAGCACAGUAGCCCUGCACUGUGUGGUAGAUGAACUAGUGCGCUUCAGGCUUAAGGUCCGCCAGUAUGCACUGGCCACGCCUGGGGCCACCGGGGAGGCCCGGAAACAGCAGCUCCAGGAGAGGCAGCCCUUGCUGGAGGCAUGUGACGCACUCCGCCAGGACCUCAUGACCCACGGCAUCAAUGUUAAGGACAGAGGCCAUGCAGCCUCCACAUGGGAACUGCUGGAUCCGAGGACAAAACACCAGAAGCCCGGGACUUGAGGAUGAGGCAGCUGCAGUCCACGUGCCUCCACGCAUGGCAUCUGCUUUCUUUGUGGUGAACUUUGUAUUAAAAACUUUAUAUUAAAGUUGCUAAUUGUGGCUGUUUAGCCACAGUAAAGUG